GGCGGAGUAGCUCAGGGGUUAGAGCAGAGGAAUCAUAAUCCUUGUGUCGGGAGUUCAAAUCUCUCCUCCGCUACCA
rnacentral:tRNA from 1 species